rnacentral:misc_RNA from 1 species
GAUGAAGAACGUAGCGAAAUGCGAUAAGUAAUGUGAAUUGCAGAAUUCAGUGAAUCAUCGAAUCUUUGAACGCACCUUGCACCCUUUGGUAUUCCGAAGGGUAUGCUCGUUUGAGUGUCAUUGUACUCUCACACUUCUAAUUCCUUUCGGGAUUGGGAGCGGUGGACUUGGGUGUUGCUGCUUUAGUUGUGGCUCACCUCAAAUAAGUUAGUGCAACUCUUGGUUGGACAUAGUACGGCGUGCUAAGUGUCUUCGCCGGCGCCUCUGUAAGGAGGGUGGCCGAUCGGGAGCUCUGUGCUUCAAACCGUCUUCGGACAAUCUUUGACAACUUGACCUCAAAUCGAGUAGGACUACCCGCUGAACUUAAGCAUAUCAAUAAGCGGAGGA